rfam:Gasterosteus aculeatus cont1.008041, whole genome shotgun sequence.
UUUAAAGUGUAAUGUAAGUCGCUUUGGAUAAAAGCGUCUGCUAAAUGACCAGUA